rnacentral:rRNA from 1 species
UACGUAGGACCCAAGCGUUAUCCGGAGUGACUGGGCGUAAAGAGUUGCGUAGGCGGCUUAUUAAGCGAGUAGUGAAAUCUGGUGGCUCAACCAUCAAGACAUUGCUCGAACUGGUAGGCUUGAGAAUGGUAGAGGUAGUUGGAAUUUCUUGUGUAGGAGUGAAAUCCGUAGAUAUAAGAAGGAACACCAAUGGCGUAGGCAGACUACUGGACCAUUUCUGACGCUGAGGCACGAAAGCGUGGGGAGCGAACCGG